GGUAAGAUGCCUGCAAAGCCUGAAUUCUGGGCAGUCAUUCAUUUUGAUUCCGGGCCGAGUCCGACACUCGAUUCUGGGCUGAUUCAAUCAGUUCCGGCACCCAGGAAGAGGGCCGCUUCUGGGCCGAUUCCUCAUUGCUAGCUAGCUGGGAAGGCUCGACAGGUGCUCAAGAUACGUGCUUUCAAGACCAUAAAUCACUAUCAUCUCUUUGCUACGAAUUUAUAUUUUAUAAGUCCAAUAAUAUUCUGAUACUCUGUGAUAAUAUUUAAUCUCCAUCAAGUGCAUACCUUGGCAUCCAGGCCUUAUUAGGCCUACUUGUAACCUAGCCUAUUAAUAGGAAGAUGACUGACAGCUAAAUGAUGACUGAUAGGUAAGAUGAUUCAUUCGAUGAUUCUUUCAAUCUCUCUCCUUUCUCUUAGGGCUGUUUUGCUGUGUGUGUAUUUCAGAAUUGAUCAAAUACUGUCACACCAUUGGAGAAUCUGCCGCGCCUUUGCCUCCACGAACCAUCUCAGCAAUUCUCAGCCACAGUCCACACACAGUGCACUUUCCCUAGACAGCCUGGAGGGGGUGGUAUUGCGACACUCAGACUCCAGAGUGGAGCUCCAGCCUACCAGCGACACCACCCUGAACCCUAGGAGCUACCACAGCAGCCGGCUCUCCCUGGAGGACAAAGCACUUCCCGCUGGCGGGGAGGGGAAUUUCCGUGAUGGGAAAAAGAGCAUAGGGACAGAUUAUGAGGAGAACUGGCAGGACGUGAGGGACAGCACCAGUGAGUCCACACACCUUGAGGAUGACGAGGAUUAGGAGUCCUUCCAGUCCAUCUAUGAGGAGGAGGAAGAAGGGUCGGUGGUGGUAAUGCCAAAAGCACAUACAAAUAAGAAUAAGAAGAAGAAGAGGCAGGAUGUGAAGGGGACCUCGACUGAGAGCCCAUCCCCAUACCUGCAGGAGUUCCAUAGUUUACCGAAGAGACUGGUUCCCUCUGAGAUCAAACACUGUCUGUAUGAACUUGAGGUGAGUGACAGAGACAGAGAGGAACUGGGUUGCAAAACCAGACAUUGGGUUCAAGUACUAUUAUGUUUUUCAAAUGCUUUGUUUGAUAGAGCCUGUCUGGAGUGUCAGGUGACAGUGUUUUGCACUUUUCGGGACUAUUUCAUUGGUCUGUCUGGUUAAACAAUGAACAACAACUGACAAGAAGAAAAAGAGGAAAUGUUGAAACUUUUAACCUCAACAAAAUGCAGACAGAUUUAUGAUCAUUUGGAGAUGUGUGUUCUCUACUAACUCCUCUUUCAGUUCCUAGUGCUGGCAUCUUGCCAGGUUUCUCUCAGAAAAGAUUCAUGAAAUGAAGACUGCAACCAGACACCAUCCUUAGUGGUCAAGAGCAAAUUGCCCGCUGGGUACACCACAUCCCUUCAACAUGGAAACUUGGGUCUUAUUUGGUUGAGAUGUUGAUCAAUAAGAUUUCCACCAUUAUUCACCCACUCAAAAAGCUAGCUAGAAGUUUGCUGAAAUUCAAAAUGUUGGUUGUGCUUUCAACCAUCUGAAAGCACAACCAAAUUAAAGUGGAAAAACAAUGUCUGAUAUUUGGUUUAGUUGUCAUCUAAAUGUGUUAUCACUGCGCUUUCAACCAAUUAAAAGCACAAGAAAGCUCAAUUUCAUGUCAGAUAUUUUGUAUUUAUACAACAAGUUAACGUGUUAUCACUGUGCUUCAUCAAAUAGCAAAAACAAAUGACCUGGAUUUCAGUUGAGAUGAAAUCAAAUCAAUUGUUAUUCAUCACAUGCUUCGUAAGUAAGAGAUGUGGACGAACA